GAUUGAUACUAAGCCAUGCGAGUCUUUGUAGCAAUACAAGGCAGACGGCUCAGUAACGCGUAGUCAACCUACCCUAUGGACGGGAAUAACCUCGGGAAACUGAGUAUAAUGCCCGAUAGAACACUAUACCUGGAAGGGUUUGUGUUCCAAAUGAUUUAUCGCCGUAGGAUGGGACUGCGGCCUAUCAGUUUGUUGGUGAGGUAAUGGCCCACCAAGACUAUUACAGGUACGGGCUCUGAGAGGAGUGGCCCGGAGAUGGGUACUGAGACACGGACCCAGGCCCUAUGGGGCGCAGCAGGCGAGAAAACUUUGCAAUGUGCGAAAGCACGACAAGGUUAAUCCGAGUGAUUUGUGCUAAACGAAUCUUUUGUUAGUCAUAGAACCACUAACGAAUAAGGGGUGGGCAAGUUCUGGUGUCAGCCGCCGCGGUAAAACCAGCACCUCAAGUGGUCAGGAUGAUUAUUGGGCCUAAAGCAUCCGUAGCCGGCUCUGUAAGUUUUCGGUUAAAUCUGUACGCUCAACGUACAGGCUGCCGGGAAUACUGCAGAGCUAGGGAGUGGGAGAGGUAGACGGUACUCGGUAGGAAGGGGUAAAAUCCUUUGAUCUAUUGAUGACCACCUGCGGCGAAGGCGGUCUACCAGAACACGUCCGACGGUGAGGGAUGAAAGCUGGGGGAGCAAACCGGAUUAGAUACCCGGGUAGUCCCAGCUGUAAACUAUGCAAACUCAGUGAUGCAUUGACUUGUGGUCAAUGCAGUGCUGCAGGGAAGCCGUUAAGUUUGCCGCCUGGGAAGUACGUACGCAAGUAUGAAACUUAAAGGAUUGGCGGGGGAGCACCACAAGGGGUGAAGCCUGCGGUUCAAUUGGAUUCAACGCCGGA
rnacentral:rRNA from 1 species